rnacentral:rRNA from 1 species
CCUACGGGAGGCAGCAGUGGGGAAUAUUGCACAAUGGGGGAAACCCUGAUGCAGCAACGCCGCGUGAGUGAAGAAGUAUUUCGGUGUGUAAAGCUCUAUCAGCAGGGAAGAAGAUGACGGUACCUGAUUAAGAAGCCCCGGCUAACUACGUGCCAGCACCCGCGGUAAUACGUAGGGGGCAACAGUUAUCCGGAUUUACUGGGUGUAAAGGGGGCGCAGACGGCAGUGCAAGUCUGGCGUGAAAGCCCGGGGCCAAACCCUGGAACGGCUCUGGAAACGGGGCGGCUAGAGUCCUGGAGGGGCAGGCGGAAUUCCUGGUGUAGCGGUGAAAUGCGUAGAUAUUAGGAUGAACACCAGUGGCGAAGGCGGCCUGCUGGACAGCAACUGACGUUGAGGCUCGAAAGCGGGGGGAGCAAACAGGAUUAGAUACCCCUGUAGUC